CCAGAUGAAAGACUUAUCGCUUUAAUUUAAAAAGAGGAAAGUCCGGACUCUACAAAGACACGGUGCCAGGUAACACCUGGCGGGGGCGACCCUAGGGAUAGUGCCACAGAAAAUAAACCGCCUUAUCAAGGCAAGGGUGAAAAGGUGUGGUAAGAGCACACCGGCUUUACUGGUAACAGAGAGCGCAUGGAAAACCCCACCGAGAGCAAGACUGAGUAGAGAUGACAUUGUUGUAAAACUAAAAACCGUCUUUGGUUAGUCAUCAGGGUUAGUCGCUUGAUCUUUAGAGUGAUCUAAAGACUAGAGAAAUGAUAAGUUUAAAAGACAGAACCCGGCUUACAUUUCAUCUGGCAAA
rnacentral:RNase_P_RNA from 1 species